AAGAAGGCCUUUUGGUUGUAAAGCACUUUAAGCGAGGAGGAGGCUCCUUUAGUUAAUACCUAAAGUGAGUGGACGUUACUCGCAGAAUAAGCACCGGCUAACUCUGUGCCAGCAGCCGCGGUAAUACAGAGGGUGCGAGCGUUAAUCGGAUUUACUGGGCGUAAAGCGUGCGUAGGCGGCUUUUUAAGUCGGAUGUGAAAUCCCUGAGCUUAACUUAGGAAUUGCAUUCGAUACUGGAAAGCUAGAGUAUGGGAGAGGAUGAUAGAAUUCCAGGUGUAGCGGUGAAAUGCGUAGAGAUCUGGAGGAAUACCGAUGGCGAAGGCAGCCAUCUGGCCUAAUACUGACGCUGAGGUACGAAAGCAUGGGGAGCAAACAGGAUUAGAUACCCUGGUAGUCCAUGCCGUAAACGAUGUCUACUAGCCGUUGGGGCCUUUGAGGCUUUAGUGGCGCAGCUAACGCGAUAAGUAGACCGCCUGGGGAGUACGGUCGCAAGACUAAAACUCAAAUGAAUUGACGGGGGCCCGCACAAGCGGUGGAGCAUGUGGUUUAAUUCGAUGCAACGCGAAGAACCUUACCUGGCCUUGACAUACUAAGAACUUUCCAGAGAUGGAUUGGUGCCUUCGGGAACUUAGAUACAGGUGCUGCAUGGCUGUCGUCAGCUCGUGUCGUGAGAUGUUGGGUUAAGUCCCGCAACGAGCGCAACCCUUUUCCUUAUUUGCCAGCGGGUAAUGCCGGGAACUUUAAGGAUACUGCCAGUGACAAACUGGAGGAAGGCGGGGACGACGUCAAGUCAUCAUGGCCCUUACGGCCAGGGCUACACACGUGCUACAAUGGUCGGUACAAAGGGUUGCUACCUCGCGAGAGGAUGCUAAUCUCAAAAAGCCGAUCGUAGUCCGGAUCGCAGUCUGCAACUCGACUGCGUGAAGUCGGAAUCGCUAGUAAUCGCGGAUCAGAAUGCCGCGGUGAAUACGUUCCCGGGCCUUGUACACACCGCCCGUCACACCAUGGGAGUUUGUUGCACCAGAAGUAGGUAGUCUAACCGCAAGGAGGACGCUUACCACGGUGUGGCAGAUGACUGGGGUGAAGUCGUAACAAGGUAGCCGUAGGGGAACCUGCGGCUGGAUCACCU
rnacentral:rRNA from 1 species